GAAAUUACCAACCAAAAAAUAGCCCCACUUUUUUGGAGCUCACAGGAUGAACUCAUCUCCCUUCGGUCUUCAUCCAGGCAAAGCCGGAUUUGGGCCCAAAGAAUAUGGACUGCUCUUGACUCUCGAGCAAGGCAUAACUCAUUCGGCCUAAUCCCUCUGAUUUUUUUUUGACCUUUUCACCCCUCCUCAUCCGCCUUCUUCUCCUCCCCUCUUCCCUGUUCGACGAGAGAGGUUCUAUGGGAUUUCUGGUGUGGAUCGAUUUCUGGUUUAAGUUUUCUGCGCACGUAACCUCAGGCAUGGGAGUUUUGGAUCAAUUUCUAGUUUUUGGUUCCAAUUUAUGGCUUAUAAAUUUUACGGUUUUGAUUUGGGCAAAGAUUAUAUAUAUGAACUGAUUUCGACUGUAUAUAUGGACUGGUUUUGAUUUCUGAGUUAUUAGGGUUUCGAUUUUGACCUCAUCUCUUUCCAUUACUGUGUGUGUGUGUUGGCUGCAGAUACAUUGAGUUGGUAGCUGUAAGUGUGUGCAAGUGUAGAUGUUAACUGGCCUAUCAAAAAAAGAAAAGAAAAGUGUAGAUGUUAACUGCGAGCUGGUGUGAGUGUGUACUUCGUGUUUGAACAAAACCCUAGAUUAGUGGUGGUCUCUAUGGAAGAUAUGGUUAAGUAAUUGGGUAUCUUAUUUCAAUAUAUGAUAGGAUAUAGGUGAUUCUGUAUUGCUAAUAGGGCGGUAAUGAAACAAUUAAAAUGUUAACGAAGGUAGUGCCUUGGCGGGGUACAUACGUAAGAUUAGUUACAGUCAUGAGUACCAUUAUGGUUUCCUCAAAAUUAUUUGAGCCCAUCUAUCCACUCACACUUAUAGCUAGCACACCCAGUUAUCAGCUAAAGCUAUGUUUCGAUGCACACUUGCCAGAAUUUAAAGUGCUGUUAAUGCUGAAGAUUCAAAGGAAGAUCAUAGAAAUAUAAACUCCUUCGAUACUCUGAUAUCCUUUGCAAUAAUUUCCUUCGGUAUGCUCUUGUACCUGCAAUCAUUUUUUUUUUACUUGUUUCCGUACUCGGUAGACAAUGAGAAAAACUAAAAAGUUAGAAGUGCGUAAUUAUUUCUAAAUGAAAAUUGCAAUAUCCACUACACAAUUAAACUACUCAUUUAAGAAUUUUACAUCAUCUCUGUCAUAGAAGUCCAGUUUAUUUGCCAUGGUGUAGGCAAGAUCUGGCAGUAACAACCAAGUACGGUGAUUUGCAUCAGAAGCCACUCUGUGAACGGUUCAUGCUACUCAAAAAGAUGAUGACAUGCCUCCAAUUGAAGCCGUUCUUCCACCUUUGGAGGCUGAACUUAAGCUUGCUUGGCUAGAGAUUACGAAGUUGCAGGAUGAUAACAAGGCAUUAGAUCGUCACCAAGUCAAAAGAAGCUGCUUUGCUUGAAGCAGAGAGGACCGUUCAGGUUGCCUUACCAAAGGCUCCCUUGCUGAAUGAUCUGCAGAAUAAUAACCAAGAGUUGAUGAAGCAGAUAGACAUUUGCCAGGUAAAGCCGUCGAUCCCUUGGAAAGAUGCAAUAUACCUGGUAGAUGUAUCAUGCAAUUUACUUGUUUUGGAUUCCUCAUUGUUUUGUGUAAGAUCUCAUCAUAGACUAAACCAUUCCGCUAAAUGUGUAUACUUACAUGAAGAAAGGCCUAACUUUCAAACUUAAUUUGAUGAUAACAAGCUAGAUCGGAAUGGAAUGUCAACUUACACUUAUUUCAAGUUCCCUAGGCUACUGUUGCAGUUCGCAUCAAGUCUUGUGACUUGUUCGUAUGAAUUUUGUAGGAUGGUUUACCAGCAAAGUUCAACCUGAAUCAAUUUAUCAUUUAAUGGUAGCACGAAGCUCUUACCUUCA